rnacentral:rRNA from 1 species
UACGUAGGGUGCAAGCGUUGUCCGGAAUUAUUGGGCGUAAAGAGCUCGUAGGCGGUUUGUUGCGUCGGCUGUGAAAUCCCGAGGCUCAACCUCGGGUCUGCAGUCGAUACGAGCAAACUAGAGUGUUGCAGGGGAGACUGGAAUUCCUGGUGUAGCGGUGAAAUGCGCAGAUAUCAGGAGGAACACCGGUGGCGAAGGCGGGUCUCUGGGCAACACUGACGCUGGAGGAGCGAAAGCGUGGGGAGCGAACAGG